rnacentral:rRNA from 1 species
CGUGCAGGCGGUUCGGUAAGUUGGACGUGAAAGCUCCCGGCUCAACUGGGAGAGGUCGUUCAAUACUGUCGGACUUGAGGAUGGUAGAGGGAGGUGGAAUUCCGGGUGUAGUGGUGAAAUGCGCAGAUAUCCGGAGGAACACCAGUGGCGAAAGCGGCCUCCUGGACCAUUCCUGACGCUCAGACGCGAAAGCUAGGGUAGCGAACG